rnacentral:rRNA from 1 species
AAAGGAAUAGACGGGGGCCCGCACAAGCGGUGGAGCAUGUGGCUCAAUUCGAGGCAACGCGAAGAACCUUACCUGGGCUUGACAUAUGCCGGACCGGCUGUGAAAGCAGUCUUCCCCUUCGGGGGUCGGCAUACAGGUGCUGCAUGGCUGUCGUCAGCUCGUGCCGUGAGGUGUUCGGUUAAGUCCGGCAACGAGCGCAACCCGUGUUACCAGUUGCCACCAGGUCAAGCUGGGCACUCUGGUGAGACUGCCCGUGUCAAGCGGGAGGAAGGCGCGGAUGACGUCAAGUCCGUAUGGCCCUUACGUCCAGGGCUGCACACGUGCUACAAUGGACGGUACAGUGGGAUGCGAGACCGCGAGGUGGAGCAAAUCCUGAAAACCGUCCCCAGUUCAGAUUGAAGUCUGCAACUCGACUUCAUGAAGCCGGAAUCGCUAGUAAAGGCGUAUCAGCAACGACGCCUUGAAUACGUUCCCGGGCCUUGUACACACCGCCCGU